GGAUUAGAUACCCUGGUAGUCCACGCCGUAAACGAUGAGAACUAGCUGUUGGGGCCCAUAGGGUUUCAGUGGCGCAGUUAACGCAUUAAGUUCUCCGCCUGGGGAGUACGGUCGCAAGAUUAAAACUCAAAGGAAUUGACGGGGGCCUGCACAAGCGGUGGAGCAUGUGGUUUAAUUCGAAGCAACGCGCAGAACCUUACCAGCGUUUGACAUCCCGGUCGCGGUUUUCAGAGAUGAAUUCCUUCAGUUAGGCUGGACCGGUGACAGGUGCUGCAUGGCUGUCGUCAGCUCGUGCCG
rnacentral:rRNA from 1 species